rnacentral:rRNA from 1 species
UAUCUCUGUAGAGUCUGCAUAUCAAUAAGCGGAGGAAAAGAAACUAACUAGGAUUCCCUCAGUAACGGCGAGUGAAGCGGGAAGAGCUCAAAUUUGAAAUCUUCAAGGUUUUACCUUGACGAAUUGUAGUUUAAAGAAGUGUUUUCUGUUGGUGUUUUGGUAAAAGUUCUUUGGAAUAGGACAUCAUAGAGGGUGAGAAUCCCGUAUUUGACCAUUACUUCCAGCGUUGUGAUACACUUUCAAAGAGUCGGAUUGUUUGGGAAUGCAGUCCAAAAUGGGUGGUAAAUUUCAUCUAAAGCUAAAUAUUGGCGAGAGACCGAUAGCGAACAAGUACCGUGAGGGAAAGAUGAAAAGAACUUUGAAAAGAGAGUUAAACAGUACGUGAAAUUGUCAAAAGGGAAGCGUUUGACACCAGUGUUGUUUUCUCGAAAAUCAAUUAAAAAUGACUGGAUUUUGUGUUGUAUUGACCUUAUAAGCUUUCUGCACUCUUUUCUAUGUUAUUUUUAACUGCACUUUUCGUUUAACAAGUCAACAUCAAUUUCUUUUAUUGUAAAAGAGUCAUUGGAAGGUGGCUUUCUUUUCGGAGAAAGUGUUUAUAGCCUUUGCCUCUGCAGUCGGAGAGAUUGAGGUCUGUAGCGUAGAUCCUUCGGGGAUUAGAUGCAUUUGUGCUAAGUUAUAGCCUUUCAUAGACAACUUGUUGACUAUGAUUAGUCAUUGUAGCUUACUCGCUUAUGUAUUUUACCUACGCUUAGGAUGUUGAUCUCUCACAGUCGAGC